rnacentral:lncRNA from 1 species
UCGCCGGUUGUUCUGCCUCGUUUCUUAUUCCAAACGAUCCCAAAACUCACUUUUGAUACCUCCAAUGGAUUUCCUGUGAAAUUUCAUUCAAUAUAGGCGUACUCAUUGUAUAGAUCAAUGUAGACUGUGCGAGCAGUGAAAUGGGCUAUUUUAACUCCUCCUCUUAGUUCUAUUUGUGCUAUGAAGCUUCUCCUUAUCACUUCCAUUUGAGGCAUUGUGUUAAGGAAUUUUCCUACAAUUGUAUAUUGGCAUCUGGAUGCAAGUGUUAUCAUGUAGUCCUUCUUAGUGAAGAUGACAGCUAGUUGGCCCUGUUUGGUAGUUAUUUUUGGGGGUGUGAACUCUAUUGGGUCUAUUUCUGCUGCAUGCCUUGCUCUUAAUUUUGUAGCAACUGAAUGAGUUAUGGUAGGAGGUGAUGGGACAGGAUAAUUAGUUAGUUUAGGUGGCUGGGCAAUGGUUUCUGUUUGGUUUAGUGUGGUUGCUGAUUUUGAAGAGUAAAGCUGGGUACCUUAGUGAACAUUUACAGAUGGUUGUAAAGAGAGUGUGUGCUUUGGUAUAUGAAAACUAGUUAAAAUGUUUGGAUGUAUGUUUGCAGCAGAUGUACUGAUUGUUUGGCUAUGGUGUUUGGUAUAUUGUGUAGUUUCUUUUGUGUUAACAUUUGAGUUUUGGUGUGAUGGUGCUUAGUCUUAGUUGUGUUUUUAUUCUGGAAAGCAGGUGCUUUGUCAAAGUUAGUGGAGAUCUUAGAAAAAUUUGCCCGCAUUGGUAUUUGAUUGAGUUGGGGAUUAGUUUGAACAUUGACAUUCCUAGGUAAAUUAGUAGUUGUUGUAUUAGACACAUGUGAUGCAGAAACAUUACCUGAAGAUGCCAAAUUUAUUGUUGUAGGGAUUGGAUACACUUGAGUAGUAGGAGUUGUUGCGGGUUCCUUUUCUUUAUCAAUAGAGAUUUUCUCGACUGUUGUGAAGGCAGUUGAAACACCAGGAACUCCAUGGGCAGUCAGUGGAACUCUCAAAUUUUCCGCCAGUGGUCGAGCAUCAAUGAUAUCAUCUGGAGUUUGAAACUGGACUUACGGGUGACCUUCAGCACCAUAUGGAGAAUUGUUUUUGUCCAAUUGAGUUUCAACCGGGGAUAGGCC